ACAUCGUCUGUCCUAACUCGCC
rnacentral:miRNA from 14 species